UGGGGAAUAUUGGACAAUGGGCGAAAGCCUGAUCCAGCCAUGCCGCGUGUGUGAAGAAGGUCUUCGGAUUGUAAAGCACUUUAAGUUGGGAGGAAGGGCAGUAAGCGAAUACCUUGCUGUUUUGACGUUACCGACAGAAUAAGCACCGGCUAACUCUGUGCCAGCAGCCGCGGUAAUACAGAGGGUGCAAGCGUUAAUCGGAAUUACUGGGCGUAAAGCGCGCGUAGGUGGUUCGUUAACUUGAAUGUGAAAGCCCCGGGCUCAACCUGGGAGCUGCAUCCAAAACUGGCGGGCUGGAGUAGGGCAGAGGGUGGUGGAAGUGCCUGUGUAGCGGUGAAAUGCGUAGAUAUAGGAAGGAACACCAGUGGCGAAGGCGACCACCUGGGCUCAUACUGACACAGAGGUGCGAAAGCGUGGGGAGCAAACAGG
rnacentral:rRNA from 1 species